UACGUAGGGUGCGAGCGUUAAUCGGAAUUACUGGGCGUAAAGCGUGCGCAGGCGGUUUUGUAAGCCAGAUGUGAAAUCCCCGGGCUUAACCUGGGAAUGGCAUUUGGGACUGCAAGGCUGGAGUGCGGCAGAGGAGACUGGAAUUCCUGGUGUAGCAGUGAAAUGCGUAGAUAUCAGGAGGAACACCGAUGGCGAAGGCAGGUCUCUGGGCUGACACUGGCGCUCAUGCACGAAAGCGUGGGGAGCAAACAGG
rnacentral:rRNA from 1 species